CGAUCCUACGGGGCGCAGCAGUGGGGAAUCUUCCGCAAUGGGCGGGAGCCUGAACCAGCCAAGUCGCGUGAGGGAAGACGGUCCUAUGGAUUGUAAACCUCUUUAGGCGGGGAGCAAUGCCGGGCACGCGUGCCCGGAGGGAGAGUACCCGCAGAAUAAGCAUCGGCUAACUCCGUGCCAGCAGCCGCGGUAAUACGGAGGAUUCGAGCGUUAUCCGGAUUUAUUGGGUUUAAAGGGUGCGUAGGCGGAUUUUUAAGUCAGCGUUAAAAUGUCCGGGCUCAACCCGGGCCGGCCGUUGAACCUGG
rnacentral:rRNA from 1 species